rnacentral:lncRNA from 1 species
GAGAACUUCAAGUUCUUUGCACUUUAUUUCAUUAGACACCAAUAUUUGAUAAAAGCAACAAGCACCAAAUUAUAUUAAUAUAAACCUUCCAUAAAUAAUGUUCACAGCAGUCACAAAGUUUAAAAUACAGAUGCUAAUUACAGUGCCAAAUCAAAACUACAAUAUUUCAAUUAAAACUAUUUUCACUUGUAAUGUGAUUAUCUUAUUCAUAGUAACAGGUAUUAAUAUUUCUAUUAAACCUGAAUAGGUUGUGCUUAGCCAUAAUUGUUCCAAUGGAUCUGUUUCCAGUUUUGUAUUUUAAAAUCCAAGUGUAUUCCAUAGAGUUAAAUAGUUUAUUCUGAUGUACCCAGGUAGACUUUUGUCUUAUAAUAGAAAAUGUUUGGAUAUCUAGGGAAAUGGCAUCAGAAAAAUCAGGAAAUGCUUGUGAUUGUACAGGUACUUCACUUCUGAUUAUAUAAGUACUUUAAAAACAGUAAAAAUUCUUGUUUCCAGUGAUGGGUCAAACAGAUACAGCAAUUAUAAUAACACUAACCUCUAAAACUCUACGAAAUAACAAAUAUCUACUUCCUUGCAAGGGAUGACUUUACAUUGCAGAUUAAAUAAAUGACCACAGAAGCAAGCAUCCUAAUAUAAGAGUUUAACUCUUUGUUCACUGCCAUAUUUGCACAGCUUACAAAAUAUCCCUUACCUUUUAGCAUAUAUUAUCAAUUUCAAUUCAAUCCAUCCUGUGACAAUCUGCAGCAAGUCACAGAAGUGCUCUUCUAGUUGAAAGGAAAUUUCAAGGGAGGAGGGAUGUGGAAAAACACAUUUAAUUUAUUCUAUUGAAAGGGGACAUUCUAAAUGGUUUCUGAGCUCUUUUGCAUCUUCUUACACACUGCAAAUCAGCUCAGAUAUCUUAAUCAGUGGCUAUAAACAUAUCCUUAUCAGUAACAUAUUCAUGAAAGAUGGUAUGUGUAUGAGCUGCAAAAUGUUUGGCAGAGACCCAAGAAUACAAAAGAAAGAAUAUGGUAAAGAAUUGAUGGAAUAUCUUUCAUGAUCAUUAAAAUACAGAAUGUUCCAAAGACCAGGGGACACCAUUGAGCCCUCCAUGUCUGAAUUCUGCAGACAGCAGUAGAUAAUACCUGAUGAUAGAAUGUUUCUUGGAAUUCCAUUUGCGACUGUUUC